rnacentral:rRNA from 1 species
AUUGAACGCUGGCGGCAGGCCUAACACAUGCAAGUCGAGCGCGCGGCGGACGGGAGAGUAAUGUAUGGGGACCUGCUAGAUAGCGGGGGAUAACUACUGGAAACGGUGGCUAAUCCCGCAUACUAUUGGAUGAACCCAUAUGGGAUUAGCUAGUAGGUGGGGUAAAGGCUCACCUAGGCGACGAUCCCUAGCUGGUCUGAGAGGAUGAUCGGCCACACUGGGACUGAGACACGGCCCAGACUCCUACGGGAGGCAGCAGUGGGGAAUAUUGCACAAUGGGCGCAAGCCUGAUGCAGCCAUGCCGCGUGUAUGAAGAAGGCCUUAUGGUUGUAAAGUACUUUCAGCAGGGAGGCGUUACCCGCAGAAGAAGCACCGGCUAACUCCGUGCCAGCAGCCGCGGUAAUAC